rnacentral:rRNA from 1 species
CCUACGGGAGGCUGCAGUAGGGAAUAUUGCUCAAUGGGGGAAACCCUGAAGCAGCAACGCCGCGUGGAGGAUGAAGGUUUUCGGAUUGUAAACUCCUUUUGUUAGAGAAGAUAAUGACGGUAUCUAACGAAUAAGCACCGGCUAACUCCGUGCCAGCAGCCGCGGUCAUACGGAGGGUGCAAGCGUUACUCGGAAUCACUGGGCGUAAAGAGCGCGUAGGCGGGAUAGCGAGUCAGAAGUGAAAACCUAUGGCUUAACCAUAGAACUGCAUUUGAAACUGUUAUUCUAGAGUAUGGGAGAGGUAGGUGGAAUUCUUGGUGUAGGGGUAAAAUCCGUAGAGAUCAAGAGGAAUACUCAUUGCGAAGGCGACCUGCUAGAACAUAACUGACGCUGAUGCGCGAAAGCGUGGGGAGCAAACAGGAUGAGAUACCCCUGUAGUC